GAUGAACGCUGGCGGCGCGCCUAACACAUGCAAGUCGAACGAUUAAAGCACCUUCGGGUGUGUAUAAAGUGGCGAACGGCUGAGUAACACGUGGGCAACCUGCCCCUUUCAUUGGGAUAGCCACGGGAAACCGUGGAUAAUACCGAAUACUUCGAGACUUCCGCAUGGAAGACUCGAGAAAGCUCCGGCGGAGGGGGAUGGGCCCGCGGCCUGUUAGCUUGUUGGUGGGGUAACGGCCUACCAAGGCAAUGACGGGUAGCUGGGUUGAGAGGCUGACCAGCCAGAUUGGGACUGAGACACGGCCCAGACUCCUACGGGAGGCAGCAGUGGGGAAUCUUGCACAAUGGGCGAAAGCCUGAUGCAGCGACGCCGCGUGCGGGAUGAAGGCCUUCGGGUUGUAAACCGCUUUCGGCAGGGACGAGGCGAAAGUGACGGUACCUGCAGAAGAAGCCCCGGCUAACUACGUG
rnacentral:rRNA from 1 species